AACGCACGAGACCUGCGGACCUGCGGAAGGAUCAUUACCGAGUUUUCAACUCCCAAACCCCAUGUGAACUUAUACCAUUUACAACCGUUGCUUCGGCGGGUUCUCGCCCCGGGCUUUACACCCCGGAACCAGGCGGCCCGCCGGGGGACCCAAACUCUAGAUUUAUAUUUUAGCAUGUCUGAGUGGAAUCAUUACAAAAUGAAUCAAAACUUUCAGCAACGGAUCUCUAGAUCGGAAGAG
rnacentral:misc_RNA from 1 species